UUCGGCUACGAAAAAGCAGAUGAGUUGACUAAUUCAGGAGCCCUUCUCUACGAAUCCAAAAAAUAUACACUAUGAACAAAAAUAAUUCAUCCAACCAGUAUCCGUCGGGGGGAGCAGAAGAAGGGAAAGACCUCCGUUGGCAGGAUCAGGUGAAGAAGAACAGGAUAGCGAAACUGAUGCGAGAAAGCAGAAACUAAGGACUUAUUACAUGGAUCCGUGAAAAGUAUUUACAGACUUACUACAGCUACCAAAAUGAGGUAUUGGCCAUUUGGAGAACAUGCAAACAUGAGUGCCAAGCCCUAUCGCAAAUCAGCCAACGAAUUUUUGGAAUUAUUCCGAUACCAACCUUAAUUAAUCACUCCAAUAGACAUAAGAAAUAAAAAUCAUAAAUUUUUUUAAAUUCAUUUUUAAUUUCAAUUUGCAAAUAGAUUUUCAGAGUAAACGAUAAAACAUUUCACAAUAGCUGAACAUAGGAUAUGUAUCUACUAAAUUUAUAUAUGUAUAAUAUACUAUAAUAUAUGUAUAUGUUGGUUGUAUGUUUGUAGGUAGCUUUAAUUAUACAACUAUAUAUAUUUAUAUGUAGGUAUGUGUGAGAUAUUUUUAUAAUAAAUGCUUAAGCGCACCAAAUACGUA